rnacentral:lncRNA from 1 species
GAAGGAUGCCCCGUGGCUUAUUUUAGUGAGAAACUUAGUGGUGCACCGUUGAACUACUCAACCUAUGACAAAGAGUUGUACGCCUUAGUGAGAGCAUUAGAGGUACAGUAACACUAUUUAUUACCAAAGUAGUUCAUGAUCCAUAUAGACCAUGAAUCCCUAAAACAUUUGGAGGGUCAAGGUAAACUCAACUGUAGUCUCUGUAAGUGGGUCGAGUUCAUUGAAUCUUUUCCCUAUGUAAUCAUGUAUAGACAAGGAAAGGAAAAUAUUAUUGUUGAUACAUUAUCUCACAGGUAUGCUUUGAUUUCUACACUUAUUUCUAAGUUUUUAGGAUUUAAACACAUUAAGGAGAUGUAUACUAGUGAUAAUGAAUUUUUCACUAUUUAUCAUUGAUGUGAGCAUUGUGCAUUCCAAAAAUUUUAUAGGCAUAAUUGUUUUCUCCUUAGGGAUGGUAAGUUAUGUGUGUAUAACUUUUCAUUUAGGGAAUUAUUGGUGCGUGAGGCUCAUAGUGGGGGAUUCAUGGGGCACUUUGGGGUAGCUAAAAAUCUAGACAUAUUGCAUAAGUAUUUUUAUUGGCCUAACAUGAGGAAAGAUAUUGAGUGCAUUUAUAGUAGGUGCAUUGCAUGUAAACAGGCCAAAUCUAGGGUUCUACCUCAUGGAUUAUAUACACCUUUAUCUGUGCCUACAACAUCUUAGAUAGAUAUAUCUAUAGAUUUUAUACUAGGAUUGCCUAGGAUUAGGAGAUCUAGUGAUAGCAUAUUUGUCAUCGUGGAUAGAUUUAGUAAGAUGGCACACUUUACUGCAUGCCACAAGACUGAUGAUGCAAUAAACAUAGCAAACCUAUUUUUUUAGAGAUAUUGUGAGACUCCAUGGCAUUCCUAAGAUAGUUGUGAGUAAUAAGGAUGCAAUAAAUAUAGCAAACCUAUUUUUUUAGAGAUGUUGUGAGUAAAUGGAAUUCCUUAAUCACUUUUGGAGAGUUUAGUUGGCUAAAUUAGGAACAAAGUUGUUAUUCUCUACUACAUAUCAUCUCCAAACUGAUGGUUAAACUAAGGUCGUUAAUAGGACCUUAGGAUCCUUAUUAAGAGCUGUAGUUGGCUAAAAUUUGAAAACAUGGGAGGAUUAUUUACCUAUCAUAGAAUUUGCAUAUAAUAGGAGCAUUCAUACCUCUACAGGNNNNNNNNNNNNNNNNNNNNNNNNCUUAGUGAGUACAAUGUGUCUGCUAACUUUAAUAUUUUUGACCUUUUCCUUUUUUAUAUAAGUCCAUAUUCGAGAACGAAUCUCUUUGAAGAGGUAGGGGAUGAUGUGAGCAUGCACAUGGAUCAAGUUGGUGGAGAGAAUAUCUCAAUGCCAAGUGGACUCAUGAUAAGGGGGAGAGCUAAAAGAUUACAACAAGCCUUUUAAAUCUUUAUCCAAGCCUAGAUCAAUGAAGAAGAUGGGCUUGGACCCAUUAAAGAAGCCUAAGGAAAUAAGACAACAAGGUCAUUAACUCAAGAGUAUAAUAGUAUAUACUAUUCACCCCAAGUGUAAGAGGGAAAUAAGCAAGAAAAUGGAAAUUUUCUACAAGACAUGAGAAAGAAAAAUUCUCAUGGGAUUUAUUUCCUAAUCAUGUGGGAAAUUGCUCCAAAAUUGCAAGCUACCUUGAGAAAGAGGAAAACUUCUCAAAUGCCAAAUCCUGUGGAAAAAGGAAAACGUUUGAGAAAGAGAAAAUUAUCUUGGCAAAAUUUCUUCGCCUAGAUUAGCCACAAUUAAUUAAGAUAUUCCCUAUUCAAAAAGUUUCCUCAAAGGAAAAUUAUAUCUCUCCUAUUUUAGUUGUAAUUUUCUUAAUUUUUGUUAGUUUUUUUAUUCUAGUUUAGAUUUAAUUUCCUAUGUAAUUUCUACCAUUAAUUAGGAGAUUAUAUUUCUUAUUAUUCACAUGCCCUACACUAUAAAUAGACAUUCAAUUCAAGGUUGUAAGGCAUUCAGAAUUUUCAACUUAUUAAUAAAAUUCAGGUAUUUUUGUUUUAAGUUUCCAAGCUUACAAGAGUGAGUGAAUGGGUCUUCGACCAACUUGUUGUGAUAGGAUUUUGAAUUACUUAUUGAGGUAACUCUCAUAGCGUCUUUUCAUAUCUAGUUCUUUAUUUCUUUCUUAGUUACCUUGGGUUUCACUCCCUUGUUCAGUACAGGUCAAGGAAAGAGGGUUUACUUAGGGUUUUGAGUUUUUGGUUGCUAAUUUAUAUGUGGGAUUUUGGAUUCUGUUGUUGAUCUCAAAUUUUGCAUCAGUAACUGUGCCAGUAACUAUGAUAUGUAAAUGUGUAACUUAUGACUAGGUCCAUGUUGAUAGUGUGAGUAUCAUUUUCUCCCAUGAUUGUGACUAAAUGUUAUCGUAUGAAAUAAUAUAGAUUUAUGCAUUUGUGUUGGUUGUGUUUGGUGAACAAUAAAUAUUUACGGUUAUGUGAAUAUGUGUUUAAGGAAGAGUAUUUUAUGUGUUAAUGUGUUUAAGGAAGAGUAUUCCAUGUGUGAAUACGUGUUUAAAGAAGGGUAUUCUAUGUGUGAAAGUGUAUGACUAAUGUGAUUACGAUAUUGUGUGAUGAGAUUUAAGAGUGAGUCGAAGGUAAUUAUGAAAUUGUAAGUUACAUGCUUAUAGACACCUUUUGAAAGAAGUGAGGUAUACAAGAAAUGAAAAAAUAUGAUUAGUAGAUCGACAUACUUGUAAUUCGAGUGGGGAAAUCAGAUGGGUGUGAAGGGUGUGGUAAGUUUUAGAGCAAAGGUAAUGAGCCAAAUCAAUAUAUUAUCUCUGAUCUUUAAAUUAGAGUCUUAAAUUAUUCUUACUGAGCAUAUCGUGGCUCACUCUUUUUUAUCAUUUUCAGGAUAGGAAAAUAAAGAGUAAGUUCAAAGUCAAAUGAAGACUUGGAAGUGUCUUUUCUCUGAUUUUGAGAAAUUUUUUUAUACAGUAACUUACAAUUUGGUGUCAAUUUUGCUUGUGUCUUGGUCUUCACGAGUUUUACCUUUCAGAAGUAGUUCGAGCCUUCCCAAUAUCACGUCAAUCUCUCUUAUGAGAAAUACACUAAUUUAUUAAAAGUAUUCGCAUGUUUCUUCUCUCCUUAGACAUGUACCAAUCACUGUUUGAUUUAAUAAUUUCUACCUCUUUUUCUUUGUAAGAGACUAUGGGUUAAAAUCAUACUGCCUCUCAUGUUUCUUGUUUCGAAUAUAAUUUCUAUUACAUUAUAAUUACUGUUCAUGUAUCAUCUAAUGAA